rnacentral:rRNA from 1 species
AGGACGAACGCUGGCGGCGUGCUUAACACACGCAAGUCGAGCGGUAAGGCCUUUCGGGGUACACGAGCGGCGAACGGGUGAGUAACACGUGGGUGAUCUGCCCUGCACUUCGGGAUAAGCCUGGGAAACUGGGUCUAAUACCGGAUAUGACCUCAGGUUGCAUGACUUGGGGUGGAAAGAUUUAUCGGUGCAGGAUGGGCCCGCGGCCUAUCAGCUUGUUGGUGGGGUAAUGGCUCACCAUGGCUUCGACGGGUAGCCGGCCUGAGAGGGUGACCGGUCACACUGGGACUGAGACACGGCCCAGACUCCUACGGGAGGCAGCAGUGGGAAUAUUGGACAAUGGGCGAAGCCUGAUCCAGCAACGCCGCGUGAGGAUGGCGGCCUUCGGGUUGUAAACCUCUUUCAGUACCGACGAAGCGGAAGUGACGGUAGUACAGAAGAAGCACCGGCCAACUACGUGCCAGCAGCCGC